rnacentral:rRNA from 1 species
GAUGAACGCUGGCGGCGUGCUUAACACAUGCAAGUCGAACGGAAAGGCCCAAGCUUGCUUGGGUACUCGAGUGGCGAACGGGUGAGUAACACGUGGGUGAUCUGCCCUGCACUUCGGGAUAAGCCUGGGAAACUGGGUCUAAUACCGGAUAGGACCACAUUUUGGAUGGUGUGGUGGAAAGUUUUUCGGUGUGGGAUGAGCUCGCGGCCUAUCAGCUUGUUGGUGGGGUAAUGGCCUACCAAGGCGUCGACGGGUAGCCGGCCUGAGAGGGUGUACGGCCGCAUUGGGACUGAGAGACGGCCCAGACUCCUACGGGAGGCAGCAGUGGGGAAUAUUGCACAAUGGGCGCAAGCCUGAUGCAGCGACGCCGCGUGGGGGAUGACGGCCUUCGGGUUGUAAACUCCUUUCGCUAGGGACGAAGCGUUAUGUGACGGUACCUGGAGAAGAAGCACCGGCUAACUACGUG